UACGAAGGGUGCAAGCGUUACUCGGAAUUACUGGGCGUAAAGGGUGCGUAGGUGGUCGUUUAAGUCCGUUGUGAAAUCCCUGGGCUCAACCUGGGAAUGGCAAUGGAUACUGGCAGGCUAGAGUGCGGUAGAGGGUAGUGGAAUUCCCGGUGUAGCGGUGAAAUGCGUAGAGAUCGGGAGGAACACCAGUGGCGAAGGCGGCUCACUGGUCCGGUACUGACGCUGAGGUGCGAAAGCGUGGGGAGCAAACAGG
rnacentral:rRNA from 1 species